CCGUUAGAGCAUUUUUAGGAAGCAUAAAAGGCAAUUAAAAUGGGCAAAAAAAUAGCCGUUGCUGACAUUUUCCAUCGCAGGGGUCGACUCAUGAGUCGACUCAUGCUUCAGGGGUCGACUCAUGAGUCGACCUCUGUUGCAAAAACCAGAGAAUGAUUUUCUAGAAAUUCUUGGCUCAAAUCAACAGGGGUCGACUCAUGAGUCGACUCAUGCCUUGUGGGUCGACUCAUGAGUCGACUCACAGGUCGUGCCAAGCCAGAAAACUAGCGUGCCA
rnacentral:lncRNA from 1 species